rnacentral:rRNA from 1 species
GUUGAACGCUGGCGGCAGGCCUAACACAUGCAAGUCGAACGAAUGGCGGACGGGUGGGUGAGGUCUUGGCACCUGCCUGAUGGACGCGUAUAACUGCUGGAACCGGUAGCUAAUACCGCAUACCAUCAGAUGUGCCCAGGUGGGUUUAUGUUCUUGGUGGGGUAACGGCUCACCAAGGCGACGAUCCCUAGCUGGUCUGAGAGGAUGACCAGCAACACUGGGACUGAGACACGGUCCAGACUCCUACGGGAGGCAGCAGUGGGGAAUAUUGGACAAUGGGCGAAAGCCUGAUGCAGCAAUGCCGCGUGUAUGAAGAAGGUCUUCGGGUUGUAAAGUACUUUCAGUGGGGAGGCGUUACCUACAGAAGAAGCAACGGCUAACUCCGUGCCAGCAGCCGCGGUAAUAC